rnacentral:rRNA from 1 species
UACGUAGGGGGCAAGCGUUGUCCGGAAUCAUUGGGCGUAAAGAGCUCGUAGGCGGCUUGUUGCGUCGACUGUGAAAACCCGUGGCUCAACCAUGUGGUCUGCAGUCGAUACGGGCAGGCUAGAAUUCGGUAGGGGAGACUGGAAUUCCUGGUGUAGCGGUGAAAUGCGCAGACAUCAGGAGGAACACCGGUGGCGAAGGCGGGUCUCUGGGCCGAUAUUGACGCUGAGGCGCGAAAGCCAGGGGAGCGAACGGG